AAUAAAAGAGUGUUUUAUUUCUAUGAAGACUAAGUUCAAGUCUUUGGAAAGGUUAUAAUAAAGGUAAUACAAGUAAUCAUUAAAUUAUGUGUGGGCAAGAUGACUACAAAAGAUUAGAGAAAAUCUUAAAUUUUCAAAAGGUUAUAUACUCUGAUUAUUGUAAGAAUCUUUAGAUUUCCAUUGUAUUUAAAUAAAAUACUAAAGCCUAUGGAUUACUGCAAACAAGAUGUUUUAGGACUUCAACCAGCAGAUUCAUUCUUUAAUUAAAAAAAGCCUUUGUUAUAUAUAAGCACAUUGGCAAAUGUAUACAUUUUUAGAUAAAAUAAAAAAAGUAUAUGUUUUUGAUUUUUUCUUUUAACAGACUUUUAAAAUUAACUUACUAUUAGCUUUGCCCAUGUAUGCUAAGAGGACUUUUACAAUGACAAGUAAAAAGAAUACAUUGAUGAUAAGUGUUUUGGUUCAGACAUUUCCAGAGCCAUGGAAUAGCAUGAGAAAAAAAACCUCUUUGAAAUAGAACGUAUUCCUUUGAAUUGGAGUCAAAAUUAGAAGCAUCCACCAAUGGAUGAAAGGAUAAAGAAAAUACGGUAUAUAUACACAAUGUAAUACUAUUCAGUCUUAAAAAAGAAGAAAAUUCUGGCAUUUGUGACAACAUGGAUGAACCUGAAGGACAUUAGGUUAAUUGAAAUAAGCCAGGCAUAGAAAGACAAAUACUGGCUGGGCAUGGUGGCUCACGCCUGUAAUCCCAGCACUUUGGGAGGCUGAGGUGGGUGGAUCAAGAGGUCAGGAGUUCGAGACCAGCCUGGCCAACAUAGUGAAACCCUGUCUCUACUAAAAACUGGGCAUGGUGUCUGGUGCCUGUAAUCCCAGCUACUCAGGAGGCUGAGGCAGGAGGAUCACUUGAAACUGGAAGGUGGUGGUUGCAGUGAGCUGAGCUCGUGCCACUGCACUCUAGCCUAGGCAACAAGAGCAAAACUCUGUCAAAAAAAAAAAAAAGAAAAGAAAAAAGAAGAAAAGAAGAAAGAAAAAAGGAAGAAAGAAAAAAAGAAAGAAAAAGAAAGAUAAGUACUGCAUGAUCUCACUUAUAUGUGGAAUCCAAAAAAGUUGAAUUCAUAGAAGCAGAGAGUACAAUGGUGCUUACCAGAGGCUGGAGGGAGAUGGGACCAUCUAGUUGCAGGAAAACAAGCUUGGAACUCCCACUGAUUCUACAUUAUGAGAAUUAACAGGACCAUCCUCUCUGGAGUUGCUCAAGAGUUGCUCAAGUUUGGCUGAAGGAAGCAAAGCUACAUUUCUUGGUAAGAGUAUUAAGAUGCAUCAUUCCUGCGGUUUUAGAGCUCAGCACAUCUAAUCCACAAAAGCACUUGAAUAAGG